AAGUCGUAACAAGGUUUCCGUAGGUGAACCUGCGGAAGGAUCAUUAUCGUGGGGCCCCGGCCCCGUCGAGAUAGAACCCUUGCCUUUUUCGAGCACCGUCCGUUUCCUCGGCAGGCCCGCCUGCCAACGGGGACAACCGUAAACCCUUGCUGUACCUGCGUCGUCUGAACAAAAACAAACAAUCAAAACUUUCAACAAUGGAUCUCUUGGUUCUG
rnacentral:misc_RNA from 1 species